AUUUGAAACAGACCUCGAAGCGGCGUUUCAAACGUUCGAUACUGUAUUGACAUGUCCGUAUUGUGCAGCCAGUUAGUACCCGUCAGUCUUGGUGAUGGGAUGGUUACCUGUUCAGUCUCUGUUUGGUGACUAUUGUAUAUUUCCACGCGCUUUCCUUUUCCUUUUUUGCCAUAGGUGUGAAUUCCCUUUGCCGGCUACUCUGAAACUGAGCUCCCUAUUCUUCUGACCUGUUCCUCUACUUUUAAAUAUAGCACUUUCGCCUUCUCUCCUGCAGCGGAUACCGAAGCAUGCCCUCCGAAACCGAGUGCGUUUGUGACGCGUGCCUCGCCGUCGGCUAGUUCGAGCCCCACGGCUUGCUGUCAGAGCACCCGUGGGCCCCCGGGCAGCCCUGCGCUUUAAGCCACGGGUGAAACUUUGUGCUGCUUCCGUGUUAAUCUGUAAAGGGGUGCUAAAACAGCCACUUGGACAAGAUAAUUAAUUCCAUAACCGAGCACUCACAGUUGCUUUACAACAUGUGUUUGGAUUAUGGGAAUAAGGAUAUAAAGUUCAGUUUUAGCACCUAGAACGUGUGCUACAAUGUACUCGCUGGAAGCCUCUGGUUCAGGAAUCUUAUGCUGAG